rnacentral:rRNA from 1 species
ACUAACAAGGAUUCCCCUAGUAACUGCGAGUGAAGCGGGAAAAGCUCAAAUUUUGAAUCUGGCGGUCUUUUCGGCCGUCCGAGUUGUAAUCUAGAGAAGCGUCUUCCGCGCUGGACCGUGUAUAAGUUUCCUGGAACGGAACGUCGUAGAGGGUGAGAAUCCCGUCUUUGACACGGACUCCCAGUGCUAUGUGAUGCGCUCUCGACGAGUCGAGUUGUUUGGGAAUGCAGCUCAAAUAGGGUGGUAAAUUCCAUCUAAAGCUAAAUAUAGGCGAGAGACCGAUAGCGAACAAGUACCGUGAGGGAAAGAUGAAAAGAACUUUGGAAAGAGAGUUAAACAGUACGUGAAAUUGCUGAAAGGGAAACGCUUGAGGUCAGUCGCGUCGUCCGGGGAUCAGCCUCGCUCUUUUGCUUGGCGUACUUCCUGGUCGACGGGUCAGCAUCAGUUUUGGUCGUCGGAAAAUGGCUCGAGGAAUGUGGCACUCUUCGGAGUGUGUUAUAGACUCGGGUCGAAUACGACGCUCGGGACUGAGGAACUCAGCACGACCUUA